UACGAAGGGGGCUAGCGUUGUUCGGAAUUACUGGGCGUAAAGCGCACGUAGGCGGAUAUCUAAGUCAGGGGUGAAAUCCCAGAGCUCAACUCUGGAACUGCCUUUGAUACUGGGUAUCUUGAGUAUGGAAGAGGUAAGUGGAAUUGCGAGUGUAGAGGUGAAAUUCGUAGAUAUUCGCAGGAACACCAGUGGCGAAGGCGGCUUACUGGUCCAUAACUGACGCUGAGGUGCGAAAGCGUGGGGAGCAAACAGG
rnacentral:rRNA from 1 species